ACAGCCAAAUCAUGUUGAAACACAGGUUCUCGUAAGAUCACUGAAGUUAAGCAAAAUUGAGCCUGGUCAGUGCCAAAAUGGCUGACCGCUUGGGAAUAGCAAGUGCUGUAAG